rnacentral:rRNA from 1 species
CAAUGCGAAGCGAAGCAGUGAUGUGAAGCAAAUCGCACCAAAGCCAGUCCCAGUUCGGAUAAGAGGCUGAAACUCGCCUCUUUGAAGUCGGAAUCGCUAGUAAUCGCAGAUCAGCAUGUUGCGGUGAAUACGUUCCCGGGUCUUGUACACACCGCCCGUCAAACCAUGAGAGUCACCAACACCCGAAGUCCGCCUUGGCGGCCUAAGGUGGGGGAGAUGAUUGGGGUUAAGUCGUAACAAGGUAAC